rnacentral:rRNA from 1 species
ACGUAGGUGGCAAGCGUUAUCCGGAUUUAUUGGGCGUAAAGCGAGCGCAGGCGGUUUUUUAAGUCCGAUGUGAAAGCCUUCGGCUUAACCGAAGAAGUGCAUUGGAAACUAGGAAACUUGAGUGCAGAAGAGGACAGUAGAACUCCAUGUGUAGCGGUGAAAUGCGUAGAUAUAUGGAAGAAUACCAGUGGCGAAAGCGGCUGUCUGGUCUGUUACUGACGCUGAGGCUCGAAAGCAUGGGUAGCAAACAGG